UCAACCUCAGAUUCAGCAAGGCCUCUU
rnacentral:piRNA from 1 species